GAUGAACGCUGGCGGCGUGCUUAACACAUGCAAGUCGAACGGUGAAGGCGGAGCUUGCUCUGCUGGAUCAGUGGCGAACGGGUGAGUAACACGUGAGCAAUCUGCCCCUGACUCUGGGAUAAGCGCUGGAAACGGCGUCUAAUACUGGAUACGAGCUGCGAAGGCAUCUUCAGCAGCUGGAAAGAAUUUCGGUCAGGGAUGAGCUCGCGGCCUAUCAGCUUGUUGGUGAGGUAAUGGCUCACCAAGGCGUCGACGGGUAGCCGGCCUGAGAGGGUGACCGGCCACACGGGGACUGAGACAGGGCCCAGACUCCUACGGGAGGCAGCAGUGGGGAAUAUUGCACAAUGGGCGAAAGCCUGAUGCAGCAACGCCGCGUGAGGGACGACGGCCUUCGGGGUGUAAACCUCUUUUAGCAGGGAAGAAGCGAAAGUGACGGUACCUGCAGAAAAAGCGCCGGCUAACUACGUG
rnacentral:rRNA from 1 species